rnacentral:rRNA from 1 species
UACGUGGGGGGCAAGCGUUGUUCGGAAUUACUGGGCGUAAAGGGUUUGUAGGUGGCCUGCUAAGUCAGACGUGAAAUCCCUCAGCUUAACUGGGGAACUGCGUCUGAGACUGGUAGGCUCGAGGACAGGAGAGGAACGCGGAAUUCCAGGUGUAGCGGUGAAAUGCGUAGAUAUCUGGAGGAACACCGGUGGCGAAGGCGGCGUUCUGGACUGUUUCUGACACUGAAAAACGAAAGCCAGGGGAGCAAACGGG